UCUAGUUACAAUAGCAAAGAGGAUACACCUGUUCCCAUUCCGAACACAGAAGUUAAGCUCUUUAGCGCUGAUGGUACUUGGGGGGAGACCCCCUGGGAGAGUAGGACGUAGCUAGUU
rnacentral:rRNA from 1 species